rnacentral:rRNA from 1 species
AUUGAACGCUGGCGGCAUGCCUUACACAUGCAAGUCGAACGCGAAAGGGGGGCAACUCCCGAGUAGAGUGGCGAACGGGUGAGUAAUACAUCGGAACAUUUCCUGUAGUGGGGGAUAACUUCGAGAAAUCGAAGCUAAUACCGCGUACGUCCUACGGGAGAAAGCAGGGGAUCGCAAGACCUUGCGCUAUAGGAGUGGCCGAUGUCGGAUUAGCUAGUUGGCGGGGUAAAAGCCCACCAAGGCGACGAUCCGUAGCUGGUCUGAGAGGAUGAUCAGCCACACUGGGACUGAGACACGGCCCAGACUCCUACGGGAGGCAGCAGUGGGGAAUUUUGGACAAUGGGCGCAAGCCUGAUCCAGCCAUGCCGCGUGAGUGAAGAAGGCCUCGG